UACGAAGGGUGCUAGCGUUGUUCGGAAUUACUGGGCGUAAAGGGUGCGUAGGCGGUAAGAUGCGUCUGAUGUGAAAUCCCUGGGCUUAACCUAGGAACUGCAUUGGAUACGGUCUUACUAGAGUCCGCGAGAGGAAGAUGGAAUUGUGCGUGUAGAGGUGAAAUUCGUAGAUAUGCACAAGAACACCGGUGGCGAAGGCGAUCUUCUGGAGCAGUACUGACGCUAAGGCACGAAAGCGUGGGGAGCAAACAGGAUUAGAUACCCUGGUAGUCCACGCUGUAAACGAUGAUUAUUAGAUGUCGGGGGGUUACCCUUCGGUAUCGCAGCUAACGCAUUAAAUAAUCCGCCUGGGGAGUACGGUCGCAAGAUUA
rnacentral:rRNA from 1 species